rnacentral:rRNA from 1 species
GAUGAACGCUGACAGAAUGCUUAACACAUGCAAGUCUUUGGCGAAGCUGUGCUUGCACAGCCUAGCCAAGGCGGACGGGUGAGUAACGCGUACGGAACUUGCCCUGCAGUCAGGGAUAACAGACGGAAACGACUGAUAAGACCUGGUAAAGUCAGGCGGACUCAUGUCCAGCCUGAUGAAAAGAGAUGCUGCAGGAGAGCCUUGCGUCCUAUUAGCUUGUUGGUGGGGUAACGGCCCACCAAGGCGAUGAUAGGUAGCCGGCCUGAGAGGGUGGACGGCCACAAGGGGACUGAGAUACGGCCCUUACUCCUACGGGAGGCAGCAGUGGGGAAUAUUGGACAAUGGGGGCAACCCUGAUCCAGCAAUUCUGUGUACACGAUGAAGGUUUUCGGAUUGUAAAGUGCUUUCAGCAGGGAAGAAAAAAAUGACGGUACCUGCAGAAGAAGCGACGGCUAAAUACGUG